rnacentral:misc_RNA from 1 species
CAAAUGUUGGAGGCGGCGGACCAACUGCUGCCGCGGCCGCCGCCGCAGCUCAAAAGCAGAAGAGCUUACUGCAGAGGGUGGAUGCUGAUAUUGGGAAUAUUGUUGACAAUUAUGGCUUCAUUGUUAACGCUGCACGGGUCAAUGAUCCACCAGUCCGAAAUUCGCAAGAAGCAUUUAUGAUGGAGAUGCGUGCAUCUAGGAUGGUCCAUGCAGCUGAUUCACUGCUUAAGUUGGUGUCGGAGUUGAAACAAACAGCCAUGUUUUCAGGGUUUGCAUCUCUAAACGAUCAUGUGGAGCAGAGAACAGAAGAAUUUACCGAACAGGCUGAGAAAACAGAAUGCAUGUUAUCUAGAAUUGGAGAGGAGGCAGCUGCUAGCCUUAAGGAGCUUGAGUCACAUUAUUAUUCUUCUGCAGAAAGAACCAGUAGUCUGCCUUCUUACAGCCAAGAAACAAUGCCCUAACCAUGGCUACAAUCACCUUCUUCUUUCCCAUUGGUUUCUCCUCUUACUAAGUAUAUUUGUCUACCUUGAAGGUAGUAACUGGACAAACAAUCUAAUGAUGAGAAAUCCAAUUUGG